rnacentral:rRNA from 1 species
CUGGGGCCCCCUUUUAUUAAAAUGAUUCUUUUUAGAUCUUUCUUUUUUGCUUCGGCAUUUUAGGAGAUCUUGUAACUUUAAGUAAAUUAGAGUGUUCAAAGCAAACAGAUUAUAGCAUCUUUAUGCGUUUGAAUACUACAGCAUGGAAUAACAAAAUUGAACAAGUCAGAAUUUUGUUCUUUUUUCUUAUUUUGGCUUAGUUACGAUUAAUAGGAGUAGCUUGGGGGCAUUUGUAUUCAGAUGUCAGAGGUGAAAUUCUUAGAUUUUCUGGAGACAAACAACUGCGAAAGCAUUUGCCUAAAAUACUUCCAUUAAUCAAGAACGAAAGUUAAGGGAGUGAAGACGAUCAGAUACCGUCGUAAUCUUAACCAUAAACUAUGCCGACUAGGCUUUGGAUGAAAGAAGUAAAAUAAAAGCCCCCCCCCC